GUGACGUAGCUCAGUUGGUAGAGCACCCGGCUGUUAACCGGGGCGUCGCGAGUUCGAGUCUCGCCGUCAC
rnacentral:tRNA from 1 species